rnacentral:rRNA from 1 species
UACGAAGGGGGCUAGCGUUGCUCGGAAUCACUGGGCGUAAAGCGCACGUAGGCGGCUUUCUAAGUCAGGGGUGAAAUCCUGGAGCUCAACUCCAGAACUGCCCUUGAUACUGGCGAUCUCGAGUUCGGGAGAGGUGAGUGGAACUGCGAGUGUAGAGGUGAAAUUCGUAGAUAUUCGCAAGAACACCAGUGGCGAAGGCGGCUCACUGGCCCGAUACUGACGCUGAGGCACGAAAGCGUGGGGAGCAAACAGG